CCAGGUCAUCAAAGGGCAACACAGGACAUAAACCCACACACACCUAAGGGCAAUUUAGAGAGUCCAGUUAACCUAACCUAGUCCUGUUUUUGGACUGUGGGAGGAAGCUGGAAUAACGGGAGAGAACUCAUGCAGGCACAGAGAGAACAUGUAAUUCGUGCAGAAAGACGCACAUGCCUGGAUUCUAACCCAGGACCUUCUUGCUGCAGGACAAAAGUGCUACCAACUGUGCACCCUGCAGCCCGAAUGUCAUGGUUAUGAUUGUCCAUAAAGGAUAAAAAUUAGGCAGCGCUCUGUGUUCUUAAUUAUGGGUUUAACAGACUUUUUAAAGAUAACUAUCUAAGUUUAUAAUUUUCUGUAAUGAGGAAUACUAUUUUUUUUCAUUGCAGUAAAGGGAAUUUGGUAGCUUGACCAUUUAGUGAAAUUCAGGAAGUCAUGUGUCAUGUGAACUACAUGUGUUUACUCAGCAUUAAACUGCUAAUAACUGAAUACCUUUUAAAUUAUUGGCAAAAUGAUUUGCUCAACCCUUAUACCCAGUUACUGUAGUUCAUUAUUGGCAUUAUAAAAAAUAAAAAUUGCCAAAAUGGUUACAUCUUAAGGCAAAACAGGACUUAUUUGUCAUAAAUCCAGUACUUGUGGAUGUUCUUGCAUAAUUUCUGACUGUAGUAGUGGUGAUUAUUGUUUAUUGACAUAGUUAUCAUGGCCACAAAACGUAUUUUUCUUCUCUG